GAAAAUCAGCGUUUUUAGGCCAAGGGAGUUGGAAAGCCCAAAAAAUAGGCUCCUUUUGAUUUUUCGGCCACCGUGGACGGCGGCCCCGUCAGCAGCGAUUGGCAGCCGCCACGGUGGCUAACGGUUGAAUCUCUGACCAGAAAUUGGGAGAAGGGGAGAGAUGUUGAGGGCUUUUUGUUUUUUUUUUUUUGAAGAAGAAGUGAGAAAAUGAAGUUAAAAAAAUAUUUGAUUUAUAUAGAGAAGCAAAACGGCGUCAUUUUGCUUUGGGUUUUUAAUAGCUAAAACGGCGUCGUUUCUGUCCGUAUAUGACCCGCGCGCGACCCGACCCAAGGGGAAUCCGCGUGUUUCUGGUAAAUGGGC
rnacentral:lncRNA from 1 species